GCCAGAAAACAAACAUAAAACAUCCAAGCAUCAAAAUGCAACGACGAUUGAGCAUCCACCAAGUCUGCGACCUAUUUUAUCAACUUGGAAGAGAGGAAGAUUCUGGCAACUCCUCCUCAGCUCCAGAGAGUGAGGAUAGCGAUGAAGCUAACAUCGAUCCUCCAAGAAAGAGGAAGAUGACCAGCUGAGGACUGCAACAGCUAUCCCAACCAGCAGUGAUGACCAGCCUAGGGACCCAACAAUCAAUGUUGAUCCUGUGAGGGGUCUUCAGUGGAGAUCCAUUUCUCCUACAACGAGGGCUAGACACAGCGCAAAGCGUCGUCGGGAAGGAUCUGCAACAGCUCAGGCAACACAGCCAGACCACUCACACACACACACUGUUGAA